rnacentral:tRNA from 1 species
GGAAGGGUGGCUGAGUCCGGUCUAAGGCACACGACUCGAAAUCGUGCGAGGGGUUAUACUCUCCGUGGGUUCGAAUCCCACCCCUUCCGCCA